UGGGGAAUCUUCCGCAAUGGGCGCAAGCCUGACGGAGCAACGCCGCGUGAGUGAAGAAGGUUUUCGGAUCGUAAAGCUCUGUUGAGAGGGACGAGAGAUAUAAUCAGGAAAUGGGUUAUAGAGGACGGUACCUUUCGAGGAAGCCACGGCUAACUACGUGCCAGCAGCCGCGGUAAUACGUAGGUGGCGAGCGUUGUCCGGAAUUAUUGGGCGUAAAGGGAGCGCAGGUGGGAAAGUAAGUCAGUCUUAAAAGUUCGGGGCUCAACCCCGUGAUGGGAUUGAAACUACUUUUCUUGAGUGCAGGAGAGGAAAGCGGAAUUCCUAGUGUAGCGGUGAAAUGCGUAGAUAUUAGGAGGAACACCAGUGGCGAAGGCGGCUUUCUGGACUGUAACUGACACUGAGGCUCGAAAGCGUGGGGAGCGAACAGG
rnacentral:rRNA from 1 species